GGAUACGCCGGGAGUUUCCUGCGCUCGCCUCCAGAGACACAGAGAUGGCGGGGUCACUCGGCUGAGAUCGUCCGGACAGGGGUUUAAUUGAAGAUGUGUUGUCUGUUCAUGAUCAUACAGUCUAUAAAACAGAGUUUAUUCAGUGUUUUCUGGGGAAAUCACGGCCCUGCUUUAAAUCCGUGUUUUGACACACACACAAAGCAAUAUCUGUAAUCGUGUUCUGAAUGCUGUACGGCUUUGAAGACGUGGAGGUGAUGUUUAUUUUGGGGAGGAGUGUCUCUUUAAGGAUGUGUCUGUCGUGAUAAACACAGGAGGAGAGAGAGUUUGGUCCCUCUUAUUUCUCCCACCUUGACUUUACUUCUUCAUUUUGAUAUGAUUUUAAAUGCUGUAGUUUAUAGUUAGUUUAUCUAUUAAUAUCUAUCUCUUUAUAUAUCUAUCCUGUAGCUAAGUCCCAGAUUUCACACACACACACACACACACACACGCACGUUAUAUAAAUAUAAGGACGAUAAUCAUAAUUACAAUGAAAGGUUUAGGUAAAAACUAAUUAUAUAAUAUUUAUAUAAUAAUCUAAAAAACGUUUCUUAACAUUUCUUUAUCAUGGUAAUUUAUACGCAGUUUUAAAUGAACGUGCUGUUUAAUAUAAAACACGUUGAAGGCUGACUUCCGCUCAGACCGGAAGCGCGAGCUUUAGCGCUUCCGCUGCUUUCGGUUGUGGUUCGCUUCUAGCGGCUUUCUGCUGAAGAAAGAACUAGAGAAAGCCUCAGAACGAAUGGAGCUCUCAAGGAUUCGUCGGUCUGGGCCGUACACGGGAUAAAAGACAGGAUCCCUUCAAGUGAAGGAGUCCUCAUAUCAAGAUCAGAUAUUUAUUCUCAUCUCAAACCCUCGCUGAAGAGACCGAGGCGCCGUUAUAAAGAUGGCCUUUAUCAAGGAGGAGAGAGAAGACGUGAAGAUCGAAGAUGAACCAGAAGAUCUUGAGGAGAAACGAGCGGAGAUAUCGUUUCUUAAAGAGGAGCGAGGAGACGUGAAGAUGGAAGAAACAGACCUGAUGACGCUGAAAGAGGAUAGACAAGAAUCCAAAGUAAUAGAAGAGAAAAAUCAGUUUGACAAACAUAAUGAUUUCAUGACUGGAGAAGAAUCUAGUUCUUACUCAU